rnacentral:ncRNA from 1 species
UAGUAAUCCUGCUCAGUACAAAAGGAACUGCAGGUUCAGAAAUUUUGUUUGUGUGCUUGGCUGGGGAGCCACUGGCUUUAAGCUAUCAUCUGUGGAAUUGUGACUGAACACCUCUAAGUUAGAAUCCAGCCUAAA